rnacentral:rRNA from 1 species
CGAGUGGCGAACGGGUGAGUAAUACAUCGGAACGUACCCAGAAGUGGGGGAUAACGUAGCGAAAGUUACGCUAAUACCGCAUACGUUCUACGGAAGAAAGUGGGGGAUCGCAAGACCUCAUGCUUUUGGAGCGGCCGAUGUCUGAUUAGCUAGUUGGUGAGGUAAAGGCUCACCAAGGCGACGAUCAGUAGCUGGUCUGAGAGGACGACCAGCCACACUGGAACUAGAGACACGGUCCAGACUCCUACGGGAGGCAGCAGUGGGGAAUUUUGGACAAUGGGCGCAAGCCUGAUCCAGCAAUGCCGCGUGAGUGAAGAAGGCCUUCGGGUUGUAAAGCUCUUUUGUCAGGGAAGAAACGGCGGGGGCUAAUAUCCUUUGCUAAUGACGGUGUGUGAAGAAUAGUCUACCGGCUA